CUCCACGUUCGUCCAACCCAGCAACCAGCAAACCCACACCAUAUGGCCUUUUCCAAGAGCGCUGUGUGCAAACCUGCAAACAAGAGAACAUGAUGCAUACCUAUAAGUUUACUUUGGGGAAUGGGGAGAGAGAGAGAGAGAGAGAGC